rnacentral:rRNA from 1 species
AACGAACGCUGGCGGCAUGCCUAACACAUGCAAGUCGAACGAGACCUUCGGGUCUAGUGGCGCACGGGUGCGUAACGCGUGGGAACCUGCCCUUAGGUUCGGAAUAACUCCCCGAAAGGGGUGCUAAUACCGGAUAAUGUCUUCGACCAAAGAUUUAUCGCCUUUGGAUGGGCCCGCGUUGGAUUAGCUAGUUGGUAGGGUAAAAGCCUACCAAGGCGACGAUCCAUAGCUGGUCUGAGAGGAUGAUCAGCCACACUGGGACUGAGACACGGCCCAGACUCCUACGGGAGGCAGCAGUGGGGAAUAUUGGACAAUGGGCGAAAGCCUGAUCCAGCAAUGCCGCGUGAGUGAUGAAGGCCUUAGGGUUGUAAAGCUCUUUUACCCGGGAUGAUAAUGACAGUACCGGGAGAAUAAGCUCCGGCUAACUCCGUG